UGAUAGUAUUUGGAUGCCUGGUUCUGUAGAUGAUCGUUGUCCUGCCCAACCUUCAGAAGGAAUCCCUUUCAAUAUCACUUUAGGUUUUAGGUAUCCACCUUUGUGCCUGGGACCCACUAAUGGAUGUCUCUCAUUAGAUAUUCAAACUUGGGCAGUCACACUACCAUCUGGUCACUCUGUCCCUCCUUUAGGACACUUGGUAUCAGGGCUCUCAUU
rnacentral:lncRNA from 10 species